rnacentral:lncRNA from 10 species
GCUUAGCAACCUGCUCGGGACCCCUCUCUGUGACUGUGAGCUGUUCUGUUCUUUUGCCUAUUAAACUCCUGCUCCAAACUCACUCGAUGUGUGUGUGCAUGUCCUUGACCUCAAUAUCUGGUCGUGUGACCAAGAACCUCAGUAUUCACCCCAGACAACAAGGCUGCUUCAUUUUGAGGGCUCGUCUGGGAUUUGAAGGUGACUUCAUCAGAAUGGACUGUUGUCCUCUAAGGAAAGUCUCUGGCUGACAAACAAUUGCCUCCUCAAAUACCAAGCUUUGCUGCUAAAGGGAUCUGCAGUCCAGCUGAAAACCUGCCCUUGCCUGAGCCCAGCCACUUUCUCCCAGAGAAAACUGGAGAACCUAAACAUGAUUGUGAACAGAAACCAUCAAGCUUCAGAUGGUGCUGAAAAUGGAGCCGAAAAUGAAACUGCCCUCCUACGAGGGACCCUUAAAUCAACCCCAGGAGGAGCCCUAGCUGCUGUUCCCCACACAACGCCACUCUCCAGCAGGAAGUAGCCAGAAGAAAUCGUCACCCAGUUUCCCCUAGCAGCAGCGCAGUAAGAUUGAGGAGCUAAAAACAGACUUGGGUGGAUGUCUGCAGCUGCAAGAAGAUGUGUGGGAACAGACACAGAAACUCUCCCUCCCAGAUAAGCAAGACAAAGAAACACAGAAUAAGAGUCCAUCUAUGUGGUCAGAGAAUGGGAUAAGAGCUGAUUUAAAAAAACUCUGCUCUAUAUAGAAGGCACACCUGGUCCCAACCAAACCACUGGACCCUAGGAGGAUAAGACCUCCUCUGCUCAUGAGCCCCCUCCUCAGUAGCCCAUUUAUAAAAACCCUGACAAUUUUACUACCACUUGGCAACCCGCUCGGGACCCCUCUCUGUGAUGGAGAGCUGUUCUUUUCUUUUGCCUAUUAAACUCCUGCUCCAAA